rnacentral:lncRNA from 13 species
CUCAACUGCUUUUAUGGUGCUUUUGUGCCAUUAAAAGGAUAAAUUUAAGUAUUCAAUGCAUAGAAAAGUUAUAUCUUUUCUGUUAUCAACCAAAUUAGCCCAUUUUCAAAAUAUAAAGAGGUCUGGAAACUUAAAAUAAUGAAAUUGUAGUAAAAAUUUUUGCUAAUCUGUUCAUAUUGUUGUCAUAUUGGUCCUAAUUGUAUGAAAAUAAUCAUGGUCAUGGGCCAAAAAGGUAUUCUAUGCUUCUCUGCAUCUUCCCACAGUACCUAGCACAAUGUCUCUGGACAAGAAUUUGAUAAUAUGUGGAUUUACUGGACUAUUCAUUUAAAAUCUUUCUUUCCGUCAUUGGCAGAAUAAAAAUUGUUAGAUGCAUACUACCUGGAUGAUGAACUAGAUGCUGGAUGAGACAUCCUUUAAAAAAGAAAUCUCUGAAUUAUCCCUUUAACAAAGCUUAAACUUAUGUACAUUAGAAGAGAACACUAUAACUAAAAAAUAUAAAAAUAGAAAGCCUAAAAGAAAUAUCCACAUCAGACCCUAUGAAUCUUGUGAUUAUCCAGGUUACUAAAUUCUACCAUAUUUCUCUUGCUCAUGGUCAGAAAACAUUUAAGUGAAGUUAAUGAAGAUUAAAGACAUUCUACGUCCUAAGAGUUCUGGAAGUUGUCACAGGUGGAAAGGGAAGCUAGAUAUCAAUCAGAACAUUGUUCUACGCUGGAUUCUUCCAUAAAAACUGGUUGAUAUUAUGGUAGUGACCAAAAGAGAUAAAGAACAGAAAUCUACCUCAUCUGUGAUUCUUCAAAGUAACCAAAUUAGACCCAUUUAGAAUUAUGAAUGGGUUUGAAUAGAGCAUUGGUGUUGAAAACUUGGGUUAAAAUCUUGGCUACAUCACUUACUGAUUGGAAGACUUUGCACAGGUAAUAAAAUCCUUGUCCACAAAUGAAGAAUAACA